rnacentral:rRNA from 1 species
UACGAAGGGGGCUAGCGUUGUUCGGAAUUACUGGGCGUAAAGCGCACGUAGGCGGAUAUUUAAGUCAGGGGUGAAAUCCCAGAGCUCAACUCUGGAACUGCCUUUGAUACUGGGUAUCUUGAGUAUGGAAGAGGUAAGUGGAAUUCCGAGUGUAGAGGUGAAAUUCGUAGAUAUUCGGAGGAACACCAGUGGCGAAGGCGGACUUACUGGUCCAUUACUGACGCUGAGGUGCGAAAGCGUGGGGAGCCAACAGGG